UGGUUAGCCGAACUUCCUGCAUGGAAGAGAU
rnacentral:piRNA from 1 species